rnacentral:rRNA from 1 species
UACAGAGGUGGCAAGCGUUGUUCGGAAUUACUGGGCGUAAAGGGCGCGUAGGCGGCCUGCUAAGUCGAACGUGAAAUCCCCGGGCUCAACCCGGGAACUGCGUCCGAUACUGGCAGGCUUGAAUCCGGGAGAGGGAUGCGGAAUUCCAGGUGUAGCGGUGAAAUGCGUAGAUAUCGGAAGGAACAUCAGUGGCGAAAGCGGCUUCCUGGACCAGAACUGACGAUCAGGCACGAAAGCGUGGGGAGCAAACAGG